rnacentral:rRNA from 1 species
AUAAUACUUUGAUUAAUUUGGUUCUGGUUUUUGUAGUUAGGUAGGCUGAGAUUUACACAUGUUAACUUUUUAGUAUUCCGGUGAAGACCCACUCUUUUUAGAUUGUUGUUUUAAUAUGCUUUCUUUUUAGUGCUGGAUAAGUUAAUUAAAAAGUAGGCUAAGAAAAUAUUUAUUAAAUAGCGUCACACCUGCAGUGAUGGGUCUCUUAACAAUAACUGGAAGGUUGAUUAGAUCAAGUGUGAGAAAAGAUUGGCUAAAUAUCGUGCCAGCAGCCGCGGUUAUACGAAUUGAUCUUCUUAACACAUUAGGUGGCUUAUUACAAGAAUACAGCUAGGGGAAUAUUUGUAAAAGUCUUGGAGGAAAGGUGAAAUUUUAGUUCAAGACGAAGAAGUAUAUAUGUAGGGAUUGUGAAAGUUUUGAAGGAAACCCGGAUUAGAUACCCGGUUAUUCUUUAGUGUUAAAGGUAAUUGCCGGUGGAGUAUGGAGUGGUCUCUGAGAAACAAAGAACUUGGCGGUUAUUUAUUUCUUACUAGGGGAACCUGCUUGAAGAAAAUGAUAAUCCUCAAGGUACCUGACCUCUUUUAGAUAAGUUCAGCCUCUAUAUCAUCGUCUCUAAGCUCUCACUGUGAAUUUGAAGGCUAUAAAGCUGGUGAGAAGGCUAUAAGUCAGAUCUAGAUGGAGCUAAUAAGGAGGGGAGAGUGGGUUACAGUGGUAGUUUAACCAAAUUGAGUUUGAAUUUUGUUUUGAAAAAGAUAAAGGAAAAUGGACUUAGUAGUAAUAAGAGAGUAGUUAGAUCUUGUGAAAUUAGCUCUGAAUUUCGUACACAUCGCCCGUCACCUGCGGGGUUAAACCUGGAGAAAGUCGUAACAUAGUAGGCGUACCGGAAGGUGCGGCCUGGAA